rnacentral:lncRNA from 1 species
UAAUAUCGGAUGUCGAAUAUAUAGACUCGGAUUUAGAUGGAUCUGAAUCAUUUUAAACAAAAACGGAUUCCGUAUAGAAUAGGGUCGAAAAAUAUCCGUUUUCAUCCUACCGAUCACAAGGUCAGCCUCGCGCGAUUUCUGAAUCAACCUGUGUGGAAACUGGGCCGAGGCAGUUGCACGCGCUAGCCCGUAGGCCUGACUCUUUUUUUUUUUCAUUUUUCUGAAUUGUGGCUGCCUCAUCAUGUAGCCGUGUAGGCCUGCGGUUCCGUAGAGUGGGCUGCUGGUCAAGCUGGACUUUGAAGGCCAGAGAUCUGUUGUGUUUCCCACGUCCAAAGCUUGGUUCAGAAAUAUUUCUUUCCUUCGAAACUUAAACUCAUUUGUCUGUUGAGCUACAAAUUCAGUAUUUUAUCACAUGGCGACAAUUUGUACGUACUUUCUAUCGGGCUGAACCACUGUGUUCCUUAUAUUUGUUUGGAUGUGCAUGUAUCUACUACAUUAAAUUAUAAGUAUUAGAGUGAAACUUAGUGUAAGUCUACUCUAAUCCACUUCAACACAAAGAGAAAUACAUACACCUCCAAACAAACUCUUAUACUAGGUUUAUGUCUGGCAUUUCAUCGAAAAUAAGGAAAUUAAUUCAAGUUCGAAUAUGGCAUACUAAUGCUAGAACAUGAUAUUUUGAGUGUGAUGUUCGCACAUUUUGUUUGCAGUCGAUCGCUAUUACAUGAGGUUUGCAACAUUUUUUGUGGGUACAUGUACUCGUAUUUCAUUAAGACGAAAGGAAUUGUUUUACAACAUCAACAAACUCUAGCUGCUUGAUAUCCACGAGCAAGACUUUACCAUGCAUCAGCGGCCAAGAUUCAU